GAUUUAUUAAGGUCACCGUCAUACCUCCAGGAAUUUGAAAGAAGACGACGAGGGUGACCAAGACGACGAGUUGCCUGAAAUUAACCACGACGCAACCCAUCCACCGCUUAUAUGGUACGAGUCGUCGCGUCAGCGCCUACUAUCGUCGUGCCGGGCGCCCAGGCGGCACCACAAGUGCACAAUAACAAUUUUGUGCCCCACCCCGUGCGCUCACCUGUUAACGAAUUUCCUGUCAGAACCCACAAAUAUCAUAUGAGGGUGCGGCGCAGUACGAAAUUUCGAGCUGCAUCUCGUCGCUACGUUACCGGACGAAACUCUAGCAGACGAAACCCAGCCGCAGACAACUAUUCCGGACGUAACGAUAGGCGAACAAUCUAUUACAGGCGCCGGCAAUGCAUUGUGCGAACCACUUUCCGGUCUAGUUUUCUGCGCCACAUUCGAACUAAACAUGACA